GGCCUAUCAGCUUGUUGGUGGGGUAAUGGCCUACCAAGGCGACGACGGGUAGCCGACCUGAGAGGGUGAUCGGCCACACUGGGACUGAGACACGGCCCAGACUCCUACGGGAGGCAGCAGUGGGGAAUAUUGCACAAUGGGCGCAAGCCUGAUGCAGCGACGCCGCGUGAGGGAUGACGGCCUUCGGGUUGUAAACCUCUUUCGCUAGGGACGAAG
rnacentral:rRNA from 1 species